rnacentral:rRNA from 1 species
GGCGCACGGGUGCGUAACACGUAGGUAACCUGCCCUCGAGCCUGGGAUAACUCGGGGAAACUCGGGCUAAUACCGGGUACGGCCGCCGGGUCCUCGGACCUGGUGGAGAGAGGUGGCCUCUGCUCGCAAGCUACCGCUCGAGGAUGGGCCUGCGUCCCAUUAGCUAGUUGGUGAGGUAAUGGCCCACCAAGGCGAAGAUGGGUAGCUGAUCUGAGAGGACGAUCAGCCACACUGGAACUGAGACACGGUCCAGACUCCUACGGGAGGCAGCAGUAGGGAAUUUUGGGCAAUGGGCGAAAGCCUGACCCAGCAACGCCGCGUGAGGGAUGAAGGCCUUCGGGUCGUAAACCUCUGUCAGGAGGAAAGAAUUCCCCUUGGCUAAUAUCCAAGGGUGUUGACGGUACCUCCAAAGGAAGCGCCGGCUAACUCCGUGCCAGCAGCCGCGGUAAUACGGAGGGCGCAAGCGUUGUUCGGAAUUACUGGGCGUAAAGCGCGUGCAGGCGGUCGAGCAAGUCGGUUGUGAAAGCCCCAGGCUCAACUUGGGAAUUGCAUCCGAAACUGCUCGGCUAGAGU